CACGUAGGGUGCGAGCGUUGUCCGGAAUUAUUGGGCGUAAAGAGCUCGUAGGCGGUGUGUCGCGUCGGCCGUGAAAACCUGGGGCUUAACUCUGGGCUUGCGGUCGAUACGGGCAUCACUGGAGUUCGGCAGGGGAGACUGGAAUUCCUGGUGUAGCGGUGAAAUGCGCAGAUAUCAGGAGGAACACCGGUGGCGAAGGCGGGUCUCUGGGCCGAUACUGACGUUGAGGAGCGAAAGCGUGGGGAGCGAACAGG
rnacentral:rRNA from 1 species